CGUGUAGGCGGAUGGGGACGUCGGUCGCUGAAAGCCCCCGGCUCAACCGGGGGAACGGGCGCCGAAACGCCCCGUCUCGAGGGACGUAGGGGGACCUGGAACUUCCGGUGGAGCGGUGAAAUGCGUUGAGAUCGGAAGGAACGCCCGUGGCGAAAGCGAGGUCCUGGACGUCUACUGACGCUGAGACGCGAAAGCUAGGGGAGCGAACGGGAUUAGAUACCCCGGUAGUCCUAGCUGUAAACGAUGGGCACUGGGUAGGGGGCUCGCCGAUGGGCUCUCUGCCGCAGGGAAACCGUGAAGUGCCCCGCCUGGGGAGUAUGGUCGCAAGGCUGAA
rnacentral:rRNA from 1 species